UUCCGGCCAUAUCACGUUGAAACAACGGUUCUCGUACGAUCACCGAAGUUAAGAAACGUCGGGCCUGAUCUGUACCUGGAUGGGUGAAAGCUUAGGAAUAUCAGAUGCUGUAGG